UUCAAAAAGAUUAGAAAAAUUUCGUGAAUGUAAUAGAAAAAAAGAUAACCACGUUAGAUUACGUGAUAAUAAUUUCUAGUCACGGUAUAUAACACAACGUGUAUCACAGUAUAUUUUUGCGUGUAUUAUAUACGACGGGGUAUAGGAUGACGACGUAGAGAGGGAGAGAGAAAGAGAGAGAAGAAAUAUCGUGGCGAGGACGCAAAUGUGUUAGGAUUAUCGGUGAUAACCAAUCGAAGAGAAAUCGUGUGCAGAGUUGUGUGUUACUACAGCAGACAGCCCCAGCUCGAUCAACCGUACGCGUGAAUGGAACUGGUGUGUUAUGUUGUGUUGUGGUGGAGUAAAGUGGAGUGGAGUAAGAGUGGAGUGGAGUAUAGUGAAGAGUAGAGAGUGGAGUGUGGAAUGGAGUGGAGUGGAGUGAAGUGAAGUGCUGAUGCUAGAAGGAAAAAAUAUGAAUGAACUCGUGGUAGUGUGACAGUCUCAACGGCGUACGUACUCUUACUUAUAUAUAUACAUACACACAUAUAAAUAUAUACAUCCAUACAUAGAUACAUCAUAUAUAUAUAGGUGGUGAACAAGUUUAUGUUGUGAAUGCGCAUGCGUCCUGACGUAACGCACGUAGCACGUGCAUCGUUCCGUGCCAUUCAGCGAUUCACGCUUUAAUGCUAUGCACGACACGACACGAUACGACGACUAUGACUAUGAACAGAGACUAUGAAGACUACUAUUACGACUAUAUAACAUAAAACUACGAUCAUCGUUGAAGGUGAGAUCGAUGGAAAAACUACGACACUCGUGUGUAACGCAUUGCGUAUACUUGUGUUGAAUUGUACAUAUUGCACUAUACGUGUGUGUGUAUGUGUACAUAUGCCUUUUUACUUACUUACUUAUUUACUUACCUGCAUAUAUGCAUAGAACGUACCACGUGCUCUUAGAAAUUUCUCCUUGACCGAUUCACUGGCUCAACGCAAACGAGCUCGACUGGAACGACUAACAGCUAUACAUCAUACUAUUGGAAUAAUUUAGAAAAAUAUCCAAUUCCUAUCAUAUUUGAGGAUCUUCUAAAGUUUCCAGGUACUAGGAGGAUUAUUAAAGGACAUACAAUGGAUUAUCAACAUACAACAGCGGUUUAAGAACAACGUAUUACAUUCUUUAGUUCUUUUUUUAUAAAUUAAAUAUUAAUUAAAAAUUUAUCCACAUUUUAAAAAUCCAAAUUUAGAAAUCAGAUCCACAUUAAAUAAAUGUAAAAAGAAACCUCUAUACGGGAUUGAAACAAAUAAAAUAUAUUUAAAUUCAA